UCUGGUGGCCUAGUGGUUAGAGCGUCCGCCUCAGAAGCGAUAGGACGCAGCUUCGAUCCUCGGCCGAGUCAU